rnacentral:rRNA from 1 species
AAUAGAUACCCAGGUAGUCCACGCCGUAAACGAUGGAUGCUAGGUGUGGGCGGUGUCGACUCCGUCCGUGCCGAAGCUAACGCAUUAAGCAUCCCGCCUGGGGAGUACGGCCGCAAGGCUAAAACUCAAAGGAAUUGACGGGGACCCGCACAAGCAGCGGAGCAUGUGGUUUAAUUCGACGCAACGCGAAGAACCUUACCAGGUCUUGACAUCCCGCUGACCGCUAUGGAGACAUAGCUUUCCCUUCGGGGACAGCGGUGACAGGUGGUGCAUGGUUGUCGUCAGCUCGUGUCGUGAGAUGUUGGGUUAAGUCCCGCAACGAGCGCAACCCUUGUCCUUAGUUGCCAUCAUUCAGUUGGGCACUCUAAGGAGACUGCCGUACAAAUACGGAGGAAGGUGGGGAUGACGUCAAAUCAUCAUGCCCCUUAUGACCUGGGCUACACACGUGCUACAAUGGACGGUACAAACGGUUGCGAAGUCGCGAGACGGAGCCAAUCCGAGAAAGCCGUUCUCAGUUCGGAUUGCAGG